GGGAGGUUCGGGGCGGCGCAGCCCCGCGCGGUUGUGGGAUCGCUCCCGGGGGCCGCUCCUCUCUCGGGCACUGGGGUCGCGGGAGACGUCGUCGGGAGCUCGGUUUCUGGAGGCCCUUCCCCACCCGGCCUCUGCCUCCUCCACUCCCCCGGGCUGGACGGAACGGGGCCCAGCGCGGGAUGCGAGAGGUAUGAUUUCGCUCUGUCGCCCAGGCUGGAGGGCAGUGGCGCAAUCUCGGCUCACUGCAGCCUCGAACUCCUAGGCUGAAGCGAUUCUCCCGCCUCAGCCUCCAAAGUAGCCGGUACUACAGGCGCGCGCCACCACGCCUGGCUAAGGGUCUUACUAUGUCACCCAGACUGAAGUGCAGUGGCAUGAUCACAGGUCAUUGCAUCCUCAACCACCCAGACUCAAGCAAUCCUCCUGUCUCAGCCUUCCAAGUAACUGAGACCACAGAAAUAACCAUGGAUAUGGGUAGAGACAGAGCCAUAUGGAAUGCACACUGCAGUGGUGAACACAUGGCCCAGCUCUGCCAUCAAGGAGAAGGAACAUGAAUGGAGCUGGAGGCCAUCAUCCUUAGUGAACUAACACAGGAGCAGAAAACCAAAUACCACAUGUUCUCAUGUGUAAGUGGGAGCUAAAUGAUGAGAACACAUGGACACAAAGAGGGGAACAACAGACACUGAAGCCUCCUUGAGGGAGGAGGGUAAGAGGAAGGAGAAGAUCAGAAAAGAUAACUACCAGGUACUAUGGUAGCUUAGUACCUGGGUGAUGAAAUAAUCUGUACACCCAACCCUCAUGACAGAAGUUUACCUGUGUAACAAACCUGCACAUGUAUCCCUGAAACUAAAAGUUUUUUAAAAAGUUAUUUAAUAUAUAUAUAUUUUUUUGAGACGGAGUUUUGCUCUUGUUGCCCAGGCUGGAGUGCGGUGGCGCAAUUUCGGCUCACCACAACCUCCGCCUCCCAGGUUCAAGCUAUUCCCCUGCCUCAGCCUCCCUAGUAGCUGGGAUUACAGGCUUGUGCCACCACGCCGGCUAAUUUUGUAUUUUUUGUAGAGACGGGGUUUCUCCAUGUUGGUCAGGCUGGUCUCGAACUCCCGACCUCAGGUGAUCCACCCCCCUCGGCCUCCCAAAGUGCUAGGAUUACAGGCAUGAGCCACUGCGCCCGGCAAAAAGUUAUUUAAUAUUAAUGGGACAAUACUCAUUGCAAGAAUCAGACUUCAAUUGCUAGCAUAAGUAAAUGACAGGCAGGAGAUAUUGAAAAUGCAAUCUUAUAGACAUUCAAGGAGAGGACGCAGGACAUUUCUGUGUCAUAAAUGUACUAUGGAAAAUAAAAAUGAGAAAAAUGGAAAUAAAAUACAAGAAAAGGUUAUGAUAAAUUUCAUAUUAUUUUACCACAAUAAAAAAAUUUUAAUAAAUUAUAAAUGGUGUGAUAUGUUUUGCCUGUGUUCCAC
rnacentral:lncRNA from 1 species